rnacentral:tRNA from 1 species
GGCGAUGUGGUGGAAUUGGUAGACACGCUACUUUGAGGGGGUAGUGGGCGUAAGCCUGUGCGAGUUCGAAUCUCGCCAUCGUCA